rnacentral:ncRNA from 1 species
CCCCAGUCUGCGGGGCGCUUAUGCGGAGCGGUAAGCAGACCAUGGACCAGCCAGCGGUUGUCCAUGUCAGUAGAAAAACACUGGCAGCC